AAGCCCCGGCACCUUUGAGGGUGCUUCUUCAAAUUUGCAUUUUGAUGUAGUAUUACCUCCUGGGCUU
rnacentral:tRNA from 1 species